AUUUCCCUUGUAUGACAUGUACAUUCUGUUCCAGUAUAAUUGGUGCAUCAUAUAUUUUCUAAUUGCCAGCUUCAGUUGAGUACCAAUGCAAGUUGUUGAUGCCUGGCGGUCAGAUCGCCUCGUACGAAAGUACCCUAUUGAAUGAUGCACUGUUAAUUGAAAUAAUUGUUCCGAUUCUAGUAAUUUCAUUGUUCAUUCAUCGGAUGGUUAUAGCACAAUGCUGUUAUAUCCUAUCUAAACUCUUCUAUGAUGCAUAUGUUUUUCUAUUUUCUGAUCUCAUUGCAGUAUGACUUAAUUGGACAUUUGAUAUAUCCUAGCAGGCGCCGAUUGCCAGGCAAUGGGAAUCUCCUGUGAACUGUCCUUGUUUAAUCAUGCGGGAGAAGUACAUUUUUAGUCCCUCAACUCUUUCGAAAGUUUACAAAUGAUCCCUAAACUCCAAAACCAGCAAACUAUAAUCCCUCAACUUUCAAAACUGGAUAAGUUUAGUCCCUGGUGCUGCUUCGUGUGCUUUCUUUGCUGACCAGGAGUAGUUUUUGACUAAAACUGGACACAUCAUGUGCGGGUCCCACUUGUCAGCGUCAGGAGAACGAAAAUAAUAGCUUUACACAAAAUGCACAAUGCAUAGUUCGAACCUGAGACCUCCAACAUAAAGAGUGCACAAGCUAGCCACUCACCAGGAGAUGUUUUGUGUUUAACAUAGAGGUAUAUAUUGAUUUAUAUUAUAUACGGGGGUAUUAAACGUGUUCAAAAUUAACUAAUUUAAAAGCGAUUUCUUUUUCUUUAUUCCUAAUUAAAACUGAAGAAUAAGUAGUUAUGCCAUGCUGUGUAUUUCUUUUCCUUGUUUUUCUCAAUUAAUUAGUAGUUUGACUCGUGCUUUUGCAUUUGUAUUAGGUGUUUGCUGAUUCAACUCUGCGCCUUCUUUUUUUCUGGACUCAUGUGCAUGAUGGAGUAGCUAUAUUGAUGUGUACGAAUUCAUACAACAGAGAUAUAAAUGUCAAAAUUUGUAAAAAUAAUGUAAGUAGUUAUUAGUCUUUUUAAAUUUAAUAAGUAGCUAACUAACUAGUUGACUGAGACGUACCAUUUGUUCUGCAUUUCUACUUAUAUCCGUUGCGUGUGCACUCUGCGUGUGGUGCUGAUUUCGAGUGUGUGCACCCUGCGUGAGGUGUGGUCAUGUGGAGUUCGUGUGUGCACCCAGUACUUCCUCUGUAAACUUUUAUAAGAUCGUUUAGAUCACUGAAGUAGUGAUCUUAAUGAUCUUAUACAAGUUUACAGAGGGAGUAAUAUAUAACAUGUAUCACUCAAUACAACAUCAGAUUAUUUUUGGAUAGGUGGCUAGCUCCAGUGUGACGCUGUGGGAGGUGCCCAGUUCGACUAUUACACGGCAUUUUUUGCCGCGUUGAUUUAUUUCACGUUUCCACCACUGACAGACGGGUCCCACUAUAUAUUUUGUGCAUCUCCUGUGACUGGCAGGUGUGUCCCGCCCAGUUUGAGUAAAAAAUGACACCGGUGAGCAAAGAAGCCACCUAAAGCAGCAUCAGGGUCUAAACUUAUCCGGUUUUAAAAGUUGAGGGACUGCAGUUUGCUGGUUUUGGAGUUUAGGGACCAUUUGUAAAUUUUCGUAAAGAGUUAAGGGACGAAAAAUAUACUUUUCACUGGAGUUACUUAUUUAUAUGGGAAUCCACAUACAAACAUGUGAUAAACUGAUAAUAGCUCAUAGGGAGUUACUUAUUUUACUGGAGCCUUAUAACUGCAUGUGAUUACUAAAAAGCCUUGCGAUUUAUCAACUACAUUAAGAAAUUUUGAUCGCCUACGCAUUUUAGAAAUUGAAUUUCCUGAAUCCUGAUUGAUUUAUCUGUGACCAGGUGAAUCUCACCAACCGUUCAAGCAGAGCAGUUAGCAUCUUCAAUUUCUUUUUGGAUACUUUAUUUGUAAUCUAGUGAAUUAAGCAUUGUAAGAGUAGUGCUUCAGGCAAUUCAUGACAACUGGUGAUUAUUUUCCACUUGCAUAGACCGUAUAGCCUGUUCUUCUUCCCAAGUAAACCUACCACAUCAACCUUUUGGUUACACAUGAUUAAAAUCGUAGCCUUUUUCUGUAGGGUCUCGUUAAGGUUUUUAAGCCUGAAUUCAGUUGGCCCUUUCUUGUUCUUGCUUAGCCUCGAACACUUACUAAAAUUAUGUUCACUAUGUGGUGCCCUGUCUUAUUCAGAAUCAGUCCAGCUCUUCUGAAUGUGAGCUAAUGUUUAUUAGAGGUCCACUCACUUUUGCAUUACACUGCAGUACUUUUGAAACGGAAUUGCACUGCAGUAUCACUGUUGAACUUCUGAAUUUUGUUCUCUUUUAUGUCAGCACUUGUUCCCUGUUCCUUUUUUUGUGCAGGACAAUAUACUGUUAUAGUCUUAUGCUAUCUCCUAUCCUGCAAAUACCUUUCAAAGUAGAAAUCAUUACUUCAAACUGGAGUAAGGUUGUUGCUACGGACUAGCUGGUUUCGUGAGGUUCUCAGCCCAGCCUUGCUCUCACUUCUGGACCAUAAACCCCUUCGCCUCCUGGCCUCAACCGUGGUGGCAGCCCCUGCUUGCCUUUCUAGAGACGGGUCCUGCCAUUUGUUUUGGUACUAGAGAGUCUCCAGUAGCUGGUCAGCUUUGCUUCACAGUAACCUUCACCUUCAGCUGAUUCCCGGUAACACAACACAUCAGUCAUUUAGCAUAUCUUUUGCAUGCACCGUUGGUUUGCACGGUGGUGUAGACAUACAAAGAGGCAAGGAAUCAGGUCCCACGAAAUUUUGGCACUGCACUGUCAACCUCAGGGACAACUGCCAGUAGGCUGUCUUUGCAUCUUGGUUUGCUAUCGGGGAACAAUUAACGUCAGAUGUCGUUGUGUUGCUCUAAUUAUAUUUCUUCAACCAAUGGCGGCGUUGAUAAUUAGUGUCCGACUGGUAUUUGUUAUGAUGACGAAAGAUCCUCACAUCAAAUGAGUCUCACAGUGUCUAGCUGUUGCCCCCAUUAUUGAGGAUUGCACACAACAAAUAUAAUGUUUGGUUAACCGAAAA